AUUGAACGCUGGCGGCAUGCUUUACACAUGCAAGUCGAACGGUAACAGGGAGCUUGCUCCGCUGACGAGUGGCGAACGGGUGAGUAAUGCGUCGGAACGUGCCGAGUAGUGGGGGGUAACGCAGCGAAAGUUGUGCUAAUACCGCAUACGUACUGAGGUAGAAAGUGGGGGACCUUCGGGCCUCACGCUAUUCGAGCGGCCGACGUCUGAUUAGCUAGUAGGUGAGGUAAAGGCUCACCUAGGCGACGAUCAGCAGCGGGUCUGAGAGGAUGGUCCGCCACACUGGGACUGAGACACGGCCCAGACUCCUACGGGAGGCAGCAGUGGGGAAUUUUGGACAAUGGGCGAAAGCCUGAUCCAGCCAUGCCGCGUGUCUGAAGAAGGACUUCGGGUUGUAGAGGACUUUUGUCGGGGAGGAAAUCCCCAGCGCUAAUACCGCUGGGGGAUGACAGUACCUGAAGAAUAAGCACCGGCUAACUACGUGCCAGCAGCCGCCGUAAAAC
rnacentral:rRNA from 1 species